AUUGAACGCUGGCGGCAUGCCUUACACAUGCAAGUCGAACGGCAGCACGGGGCAACCUGGUGGCGAGUGGCGAACGGGUGAGUAAUGCAUCGGAACGUACCUUUCAGUGGGGGAUAACGUAGCGAAAGUUACGCUAAUACCGCAUAUUCUGUGAGCAGGAAAGCAGGGGAUCGCAAGACCUUGCGCUGAUUGAGCGGCCGAUGUCAGAUUAGCUAGUUGGUGAGGUAAAGGCUCACCAAGGCGACGAUCUGUAGCGGGUCUGAGAGGAUGAUCCGCCACACUGGAACGGAGACACGGUCCAGACUCCUACGGGAGGCAGCAGUGGGGAAUUUUGGACAAUGGGCGAAAGCCUGAUCCAGCCAUGCCGCGUGUGUGAAGAAGGUCUUCGGAUUGUAAAGCACUUUAGGUCGGGAGGAAGGGCUGCAGGUUACUACCUUGCAGUCUUGACGUUACCGACAGAAUAAGCACCGGCUAACUUCGUGCCAGCCGCCGCCGUAAUAC
rnacentral:rRNA from 1 species